rnacentral:rRNA from 1 species
GAUGAACGCUGGCGGCGUGCCUAAUACAUGCAAGUCGAGCGAACGGACGAGAAGCUUGCUUCUCUGAUGUUAGCGGCGGACGGGUGAGUAACACGUGGAUAACCUACCUAUAAGACUGGGAUAACUUCGGGAAACCGGAGCUAAUACCGGAUGAUAUUUUGAACCGCAUGGUUCAAAAGUGAAAGACGGUCUUGCUGUCACUUAUAGAUGGAUCCGCGCUGCAUUAGCUAGUUGGUAAGGUAACGGCUUACCAAGGCAACGAUGCAUAGCCGACCUGAGAGGGUGAUCGGCCACACUGGAACUGAGACACGGUCCAGACUCCUACGGGAGGCAGCAGUAGGGAAUCUUCCGCAAUGGGCGAAAGCCCGACGGAGCAACGCCGCGUGAGUGAUGAAGGUCUUCGGAUCGUAAAACUCUGUUAUUAGGGAAGAACAUAUGUGUAAGUAACUGUGCACAUCUUGACGGUACCUAAUCAGAAAGCCACGGCUAACUACGUGCCAGCAGCCGCGGUAAUACGUAGGUGGCAAGCGUUAUCCGGAAUUAUUGGGCGUAAAGCGUGCGUAGGCGGUUUUUUAAGUCUGAUGUGAAAGCCCACGGCUCAACCGUGGAGGGUCAUUGGAAACUGGAAAACUUGAGUGCAGAAGAGGAAAGUGGAAUUCCAUGUGUAGCGGUGAAAUGCGCAGAGAUAUGGAGGAACACCAGUGGCGAAGGCGACUUUCUGGUCUGUAACUGACGCUGAUGUGCGAAAGCGUGGGGAUCAAACAGGAUUAGAUACCCUGGUAGUCCACGCCGUAAACGAUGAGUGCUAAGUGUUAGGGGGUUUCCGCCCCUUAGUGCUGCAGCUAACGCAUUAAGCACUCCGCCUGGGGAGUACGACCGCAAGGUUGAAACUCAAAGGAAUUGACGGGGACCCGCACAAGCGGUGGAGCAUGUGGUUUAAUUCGAAGCAACGCGAAGAACCUUACCAAAUCUUGACAUCCUUUGACAACUCUAGAGAUAGAGCCUUCCCCUUCGGGGGACAAAGUGACAGGUGGUGCAUGGUUGUCGUCAGCUCGUGUCGUGAGAUGUUGGGUUAAGUCCCGCAACGAGCGCAACCCUUAAGCUUAGUUGCCAUCAUUAAGUUGGGCACUCUAAGUUGACUGCCGGUGACAAACCGGAGGAAGGUGGGGAUGACGUCAAACCAUCAUGCCCCUUAUGAUUUGGGCUACACACGUGCUACAAUGGACAAUACAAAGGGCAGCGAAACCGCGAGGUCAAGCAAAUCCCAUAAAGUUGUUCUCAGUUCGGAUUGUAGUCUGCAACUCGACUACAUGAAGCUGGAAUCGCUAGUAAUCGUAGAUCAGCAUGCUACGGUGAAUACGUUCCCGGGUCU